rnacentral:rRNA from 1 species
AGUGAACGCUGGCGGUAGGCCUAACACAUGCAAGUCGAACGGCAGCACAGUAAGAGCUUGCUCUUGAGGGUGGCGAGUGGCGGACGGGUGAGGAAUACAUCGGAAUCUACUUUUUCGUGGGGGAUAACGUAGGGAAACUUACGCUAAUACCGCAUACGACCUACGGGAGAAAGCAGGGGAUCUUCGGACCUUGCGCGACUGAAUGAGCCGAUGCCGGAUUAGCUAGUUGGCGGGGUAAAGGCCCACCAAGGCGACGAUCCGUAGCUGGUCUGAGAGGGUGAUCGGCCACACUGGAACUGAGACACGGUCCAGACUCCUACGGGAGGCAGCAGUAGGGAAUCUUGGGCAAUGGGCGCAAGCCUGAUGCAGCCACGCCGCGUGAGUGAUGAAGGUCUUCGGGUCGUAAAACCCUGUUGUUAGGGAAGAACAGAAGCGGAAUUAUACGCCGCUAUUCUGACGGUACCCAAAGAGUAAGCACCGGCUAACUACGUG